rnacentral:rRNA from 1 species
UACAGAGGUCCCAAGCGUUGUUCGGAUUCACUGGGCGUAAAGGGUGCGUAGGCGGUCGGGUAAGUCUGAUGUGAAAUCUCACAGCUUAACUGUGAAACUGCAUUGGAUACUAUCCGGCUUGAGGAAUGGAGGGGAGACUGGAAUACUUGGUGUAGCAGUGAAAUGCGUAGAUAUCAAGUGGAACACCAGUGGCGAAGGCGAGUCUCUGGACAUUUCCUGACGCUGAGGCACGAAAGCCAGGGGAGCAAACAGG